UCCCUAUUUCCUAGAUUACAACUAGAACUAACUAGAACUAGAACUAGAGGAACUAGAACUAGAACUAGAUGAACUAGAACUAGAUCUAGAUGAACUAGAGGUAGAACUAGAAGAACUAGAGGGAUCCUCUCUACUUGGAUGAAGAAUUGAAACCCUAACUUUGAUUCUGUAGAAGAGGUAUGAUCUCCUGGGGCCUGGGGCUCUGGUUUUAUAGUUCCUUCAAGUGAAUAUGGGUCGUUGGAUCAAACCGACAUUGAUUGAACGGUUAUCCUUGAUCCUUUAGGUCGGUGGAGCAUGAUCCGCGAGUUUGGACGUGAUUGGGUAGAACUCUAGGGCGGGCGCCCUCAGGACUUGGGCGGGCGCCCUGUCCCUGAGCCCUCUCGGCCUUCGCUUCGGUCCCGUGGCUUCUGGAGUCUUCUAGAUGAUAGAAAAUUGCAUGGCAUGUUAAUAUCUCUAUGUAAACCCGACGUGUGGGCCUUUCUUCCGUAUUUCCUGAUAACCCCCUGCAGAAAUAGACAAACACCAAAACUCGUGGAAUUCUGUCAGAUAAAACCCUAAGUCUAGGUGUUGGUUGCAUUUGGAUCCUUUUCCAUGAUUAAUUGAUGGUUAAAUAUGAGCAUUAAGGAUCGUCAACAGUAACAAGCUCGGACUCUGAUGAAGAACCAGUUAUUGGUUUGGCAGAAUGGGUGAAGAAUAAGAAGCCAAUGUCUUGCCCUUUUGGGCAUAAGGAGCCAAAAAAGUUUGCAUUUGAUAUCACCAAAGCCGAUAGGAUAUUUGACUUUCUGCUUCAGGAAGGGCAGAUCAAGUUGUCACCCAAUGAUGUGAUUCCAUCGGUAGAAGAAUUAAAGAAGAUUAAGUACUGCAAGUGGCAUAAUGCAACAUCCCACAGUACAAAUGAGUACAAAGUUUUCAGGCAACAGCUCCAAUCAGCUGAGAGAAGUGCAUCGGUAGAUCCUCAGCAUCAGAUCACCACCGAUGAUGCCAAAGGCAAAGGUUUAAUCCAGGAUGGAACUAGCUUAGGAAGGCCUCCCCGUUCUGGCAUUGUGAUUACUCAUAGAAGGCAUCGGGAGACCUGGCAGCAGCGUGAGGAUCGGUAUCGGCGCCAACAGGAGGAUCUCCGUCGGGAAGAAGAAAGACGCCGACAAGAGUGGAACCGGCAUAAGGAUCACUGGAAUUGCCCGUUCAUCAAGCUACCAACUGUUAGAGACUGCCCUGAGUGCAAUGGUUAUGAUCGGUAUGAUAGACCUAAUCGGCAGUAUCAGAACGAUGAUCGGUGUUUUAAUGGGCCAAUUAGGGGAAGAGCCUCAGUUCAUGAUCAGUUGGGGGCAGACUCAGUGUACAUGACAGACUUGGUGAGCGUGUCGAGUAUUUUCCCAGAAACCAAGAGGAGCUCGAGGAGAUGGUAGAUGCAUGAGUUCUCGAUGAGUUCAUAUUCUGCAGAGAUGCUAAUACUUAUCAGGUGGAAUCAAGGGAAAAUCGUCGCCAGUCGGUUAGACAACCACAACUUCCUUCAUGGUGUCCAGAGGGAUUAACUAGGACACAGAAAAAGAAGGCUGCAGCGGGAGCGACGAGAAGAGUUGAGUAGAGGGGAGAAUUAUACUAAGUCUGGAGAUCAGUAGCAGCAGGAUACUAAAGGAAAAGGGCCAUCGGCAAAUGUUAAUAUGGUGUUUAUGUUGCCGAUGGAGUUCCUUGCGCCUUUCAGUGAUGAUAAUGAGGUGGAUUGUCCCGAUGAGAUAGCCCAAUUGGCUCUAGAUCCGAUGACAGCUAUCUUUGAAAAGCUUGAUGAUAAUGAAAGACAACAUCUUAACGCUUUGUUUGUGAAAGGCAAAGUUGAUGGGCAGCCGAUGACCAAAAUACUUGUUGAUGGUGGGGCUGCUAUCAAUAUUAUGCCAUAUGCGGUCUAUCAGAAGCUUGGCAAAGGAGAUCAAGAUUUGACCAAGACCGAUAUGAUGUUAAAGGAUUUUGAAGGAAAUGUGUCUCCAGUCAAGGGAGCCAUAUGUGUUGAGUUGACCAUCGGCAACAAAACCUUGCCAACAACUUUCUUCGUCAUCAGUGGAAAGGGUGCUUAUAAUCUACUGUUGGGGAGAGAUUGGAUCCAUGCCAGUUGUUGCAUCCCAUCUACAAUGCACCAAUGUUUGGUUCAGUGGGUAGGUGACAAGAUUGAGAUUGUCCCAGGAGAUUCUUCAUAUGUCAUCGCAUCGACAGAGGCAGAUACUUAUGAAAGGACUAGAUGCAUUUCAGGGGAGAUUUGGGAAAAUGAUUUUCUCAAAGUUGCCGAUUAUGAAAUUCCACCGAUCCAAGCAGUCGGUUCUGAUGAAGAGUUUUAAUGGAUAGGUUCACCGAUGAUGGAAAAUUAGGCCAGGUGUUUACAUCGGCCAACGAUUUAGUAGAGGUAGAUAUAGGUAAUGGUGAUAGGCCAAGGCCUACUUUUAUUAAUGCUAAGUUGGAUUCUAAGUGUAAGCAGCAGUUAACUGAUUUGUUAAAGGAAUAUAAAGAUUGCUUUGCUUGGGAUUAUACCGAGAUGCCUGGUUCAGACCGAUCUAUUGUUGAACAUCGGUUACCUAUCAAAACUGGAUUUCGGCCGCAUCAACAGCUAGCUCACCGGUGCAAUCCUAAUAUUCUUCCUGAUAUUAAGGCCGAAAUAACCAAACUUAUCAAAGCUAAAUUUAUUCGGCAAUGUCGGUUUGUUGAUUGGAUUUCCAAUGUUGUUAUAUUUUACAAGAAGAAUGAGAAGCUUCGUGUCUGCAUUGAUUUUAGGAAUCUUAACAAUGCUACACCGAUGGAUGGUUUUCCAAUGAUAGUUGCCAAUUUGCUAGUUGAUGCUGCAGCUGGACAUUGGAUCAUUAGCUUUAUGGAUGGUAAUGCAGGGUAUAAUCAAAUAUUCAUGGCCGAAGAAGAUAUUCCAAAGACUGCAUUUAGAUGUCCUGGACAUGUCGGGUUGUUUGAAUGGAUAGUCAUGACCUUUGGCUUGAAAAAUGCUGGUGCUACUUAUCAGAGGGCUAUGAAUUUUAUCUUUCAUGAGUUCAUCGGCAAGCUGGUGGAAAUCUAUAUUGAUGAUGUGGUGGUUAAGUCAGGGAAUUUCAUAAAGCAUCUUGCCGAUCUGCGAAAGGUGUUGGAAUGCACAAGGAAACAUGGUUUGAAGAUGAAUCCUAAUAAAUGUGCAUUUGGUGUAUUGGCAGGGAAAUUUCUUGGUUUCAUGGUGCAUCAGAGAGGAAUUGAGAUUAGUAGGAGAUAUAUUGAUGCUAUCAACAAAAUAGUUGCUCCCACCAACAAAAUUGAACUCCAACCCCUGAUCGGUAAGAUAAAUUUUAUUAGACGAUUUAUAUCUAACUUGUUUGGUAAGAUUCGUGCUUUUAGUCCUGUACUUAAGUUAAAAGCCGAUCAAGAGUUUGUGUGGGGAAAAGAACAACAAUCGGCACUGGACGAAAUCAAGAAUUAUUUGACAAAUCCUCCAGUCUUGAUUCCACCUCAGCAAGGAAAGCCUUUCAAAUUGUAUUUGUCUACCGAUAGAAUGGUCGUUGGUUCAGCUUUGAUUUAGGAAAUUGAAGGGAAGGAACGUGUAAUUUAUUAUUUGAGUAGAAGACUGGUUGAUGCUGAGACAAGGUAUUCAACCAUUGAAAAGUUUUGUUUAUGCUUAUACUUUUCUUGUGUCAAAUUGAGGCACUAUCUGCUAUCGGCCGAAUGCACUAUUAUAUGCAAAGAUGAUGUAGUCCGUUAUAUGCUAUGUAUGCUGAUCAUAAAUGGUAGAAUCGGCAAAUGGAUUUUGGCACUGUCGGAGUUUGAUCUGCAUUAUGAAUCGGCUAAGGCAGUUAAGGGGCAGAUUAUGGCUGAUUUUGAGACUCAGCAUUGCGGUGUAGUAGGAACUUUGGAGAUCGUUCCUUGGACGCUCUUCUUUGAUGGAUCCAUGUGUGACCGGGGGGCAGGAAUCGGUAUAGUAUUAAUUUCUCCUCGAGGGAAGAAGUAUGAGUUCUCUUUGCUGAUUGUUGCCAUGUCAACGAACAAUUAGGCCAAAUAGCAAGCUCUGAUCAAAGGGUUGUAAUUAUUAAAAGAGGUUCAUGCAGAUGCUGUUGAGAUCUUCGACGAUGCUAUGGUUGUUAUAAAUCAACUGGCCGGGACUUAUGAAUGCCGAAGUGAAGUUUUGAUAACUUAUUAUGAAAAUAGCAUACAACUAUUAAGGGAAUUCAAGGAUUUCCGAUUAGAGCAUGUUCCUCGAUUACAAAAUGAGUUGGCUAAUCGGUUGGCUCAGCAUGCCUCGGGAUACCAACUGAUCUUAAAUUUGUUAUCGGCAAUCAGUGCUGAUGAUUGGAGGAAGGAGCUCAUUGAUUACUUAAAGGAUCCAUCUAAAAAGGUUGAGAGGCAUGUUAGGUUUUAGGCCGCCAAGUAUGUACUUCUUGGAGAAGAAUUAUAUUAUCGAAUGAUAGAUGGAGUUUUGCUCAAGUGCUUAGGUGAUGAUGGGGCUAGAAGCUUGAUGGGUGAAAUCCAUGAAGGAGUGUGUGGUGCGCAUCAGUCGGCCUUCAAAAUGAAGUGGAUGAUUAGGAGAAACGGGUAUUAUUGGCCGACUAUACUGGAGGAUUGCUUUAAAUAUUUCAAAGGAUGUCAAGGAUGUCAAAGAUUUGGCAAUAUUCAAAGAGCACCCGCAUCGGCUAUGAAUCCCAUUAUUAAGCUUGGCCGUUUCGGGGAUGAGCUAUUGAUCUAAUCGGCCAGAUUUAUCCUCCAUCAAGCAAGGGGCAUAAGUUCAUCCUAGUUGCCACUGACUAUUUUACUAAGUGGGUUGAAGCUAUUCCUUUGAAGAAAGUAACAUCGGCUAACAUGAUUGAUUUUGUGAAAGAGCAUAUUGUUUACUGAUUUGGUAUUCCUCAAACGAUCACUACCGAUCAGGGUACUAUGUUUAGAUCGGGAGAGUUUGAUGAAUUUGCAAUCGGUAUGGGGAUUAAAGUAUUGAAUUCUUCUCCUUAUUAUGCUCAAGUCAAUGGACAAGCCGAAGCAUCUAACAAAGGAAUUAUUAAGCUCAUCAAGCGAAAGAUUGAAGAGAAUCCUAGAAGGUGGCAUACAUUGUUGAGUGAGGCUUUGUGGUCAUAUCGAAUGGCAUGUCAUGGAUCGACCAAAGUUCCACCUUAUUAGUUAGUUUAUGGACACAAUGCGGUGUUGCCAUUGGAAAUUAAGACUGGAUCUAGGCAAAUCUCUUUUCAAGAUCAAUUGGCUGCCGAUGAUUAUGCUACUUUAAUGAAAGAUGAGUUGGAUGAUUUGGCGGAGCAUCGGUUGAGAGCUUUGAUAAGGAUAGAAGAAAAUAAAUGGAGAGUUGCUAGCUGGUAUGAUAAAAAGGUAAAUGUUAAGGAGUUUGCCGACGGAGAUUUGGUAUGGAAAUUGAUUUUACCGAUUGGGACUAAAAGUUCAAAGUUUGGAAAAUGGUCUCCCAAUUGGGAUGGUCCUUAUCGGGUAAAACGGUCUGCUCCCGGUAAUGCUUAUAUUUUGGAGACUCUCGAAGGAGUUGAAUUUCCCAAGGCAUUAAUUGGAAAAUAUCUAAAGAGGUAUUACCCAAGCAUAUGGGUUGAUGCAUAUGAGUUUAAGUGCAGAUAACACUCCUAUCGGCUGGAUGAAAUGUAUCUGGGGCAUAAUGUUUUCAAAAUUGCCGAUAACAGUCCUAUCGGCUAUACUGGAAUAAUCAGAAGUAUUAUAAGGACGGAACGAAACAAGUCACCGAUGAGGGGCUCACACGUUCAGCAGCGCUUGGAUGGCCGAUAUGGCGCAGGCGGAUUUGGUCGGCUUCCUCUAUCUCUCGGAUGUCUUCAUCGGCAGAACCCUCCACUGGCUUCAACUGCUUCUUCAUUUGCAGUGCCUUGCGGGCCUGGAUGUUUCGUUCUUGCUGUAGAGUCUUGAGCAUCUCAGGCUGUUGGCUUUCUUCUUGUUGAGCUUGGGUCAGGGCUUCUUCCACUUGUUUGAGCUCAGCCAGCAAAGCCUCCCUUUUUGCCGAUAGGAAGGAGAUCUUCUGCUUCAGUGUCUCCCCUGAGGACUGCAGGAUGCCGAUGCUCUUGUGUUUCUCAUCGGCAAGGCGUUUCACUUGCAUUACCUCCUCCGAAAGUUGGGCAUGGGUGGCUCUAUCAGCAAGACGAUGGGUAGCCUUUUGGUACUGGAGCUGACGGCUCUCCAAGUGUGCAGCUUGGAAAAGAAUCUCCUCCGCAUCGGCUGGAAUUAGGCCACAAAGAGUCUUGAACAGGGCUUUUGCCGGGUCGGAGUCAUCGACCAACUGAGUAGUGUCUUGGUGUAACAGGGCCAGUAGAUCCUCCAGUUUGGCUCUGACUUCUGCCGAUGAGAUCCCUAUUGCUUGGGAGGAGCUUGCUUCCUCACCCUCAUCAUCGGAAAUAUCAAUGGCGAAGGAAAAUAAGCUGUCCAGGGAGUCUUGUUCCUGAAAGAAAAUGAGAUAAGUUAUUUGAUGAUUAGAUAUUAGUAAUGUAAGGGAUGGAAAUCAGAUAACUUACUUGCUUUAAGGCUAUUUCACAUCUGUGGCUGGUUGAUGCCGCUGGUAACAUAGGUUGAUAGGCUAGAGUUGCCGAUGGAACAAUGUCAACUGAAGAAUGAUAAGGAUAAUUAUAAUUUGAAAGAAUAUAUUCAUCGGCGAUAAUUUUGUGACCAGUAUGUUACUUUGAGGAGGCGCGGUGCUUGUCUGUUCUGAAGGAACGACCGAUGUUAUGAUCAGAUCCGCUGGAUAGGCAGUCUGCUCAAGCACAUCGGCUGGUGCUUCUUGUGGUUGAGGUGCUGGUUGAGGAGGAGGUGCUGAUUGAGGGGGAGAUGGUGCUUGCUGUGUCUGGAUUUCUGGUGAAGAGGGGGACUAUGGAAUCGGCAAUACUGGAUGAGGAAGAGAAGGCGGUGCUGUCUUUUGGCGCUUUGGUUGCGACUUAGUGCUCUUGGGACCUUUUCUCUUGACUUGACAGGACUGGGGGGCAUCGGCACUUGUUUUGGUACUUCUAGUCUUUGCUGAUUUGCCAGCCUGAUGUUACAAUAAGCAAGAUUUCAUGAGUCCAAAUAUGAAAGAAUGUUGAUGAAUAUUUUGUUAAAAGAUAAAAAGUUACCGAUGAGGUUCCCAUAGCAGCCGAUGUAUCCUGAAAAGGUUGUGUGAGUAUAGAAUGGAAUCAGUAUAAAUUGAGGAAAUCAAAGAUUUACCUUGAAAGCUUGUGCCAAUGUAGCAGCGGCAACCGUUGGGGAUGUCUUUGAUCGCCUGGUGGUUAUUUUCUUAAAAUGCACGUUCCGGUGCAUUAGAGCUGCCAGGCUUGGUGCGUUGUUGCCGAUCAGAGAAAUUGGACCUGAUGGGAGGAGAUCAAUCGGCUUUCCACUUCUGCUGACUGUUGGUGGCGAGUUGUCGACUUGUUUUAAAAAGGAGAAGGUAAGUUACCGAUGAGAAUAAAAGCAACGAAAGAACUGAGGUAUCGGUUGAAGACUUACGACAUUAUCGGGGACCUUAUACUUGGGGUCGAUCAUGCCACGAUAUGUUAGAGCCAAUGUGCAGAACAAAUGUUCUUUCCACUCUUCCCACCAUUGUUUGUAUUCUUGAGUGAUGAAGAGAGCUGGGAUCCAGGCCGACAGAUCGAUGUCUAAUGUAUCGGCAUUUGGUUGAAGCUGGGCUAUCCUUAUCCAUUCAAGACCGCUGGUUAUAGUUUCCCUUGGCUUCACCACAUCGGCAUAACAUAGUCCAAUUGGCGACUACCCAAAAGCUAGUUGACGGGCUAGUGCCGAUGGAUUGUAGAAUUCAUAGGUGGCGUUGGAGUUCUUCCCACUGCCGAAGGUGUUCACUGGAAUGGCCCUUGGUGUGAUGAUUGCCAUCAUCAAAUUGGUAUCUUUAUUAAGAGCAUCAUCAAAAGGGUGGAAAGUGAGCGGGAAUCUGGUUUCUGGGUCCUCGUAAGGCAUCCAUGCCCGCUGAUCUUUAGCAAGACCCUCAUAGAGAGUUUGGAAGAAUCGGCUGACCUGGUCUUCAGUACCACCAGUACCAGGUAAGACUAUUGCUGCUUCACCGUAAUUCAAGGGUGAGCGAGUUGCUGAUUCUUCAUCAGUCAAUUCGUGAUCUUCAGCUAUAUCUCUUGGAAAGCGCUGUGUGAAGAGGUCAAAUCCAAGGCGUUUGUGCAUGUGGACACUAAGCCACAUGUUGAUGAACCACCAUGGACCUCCCAGUUGCCGAUGGGUUGGCCUAUCAGGAGUUUCUCAGCUACUUGAUGGAGAAGAUGAUAGGCAGAGCCAAGCAAAUAUCGGCCAAGAGGAAAUCGGCAGCCAUCGGCCAGUCUUUCUGCUGCCGAUAGGUAGACAGAAGUUGGUCCUACCGAUCGACCACAGAAAACGAAAUUGUCCAGCCACAUGUUCAGGAAGACGGCAUGCUCCCUCUUACUGAGUGGUCCUGUUUUCCGAUACUUCUGAAUGUAUCCUGACCAACCGCCGAUGUUGCGGGUUUCUACUGUGCGCUCAGGUUUGCGACCAUAUAAAUGAUUGUCAUCGGUAGUUGAUAUGUCUAAACCGGUGAGCAUGAGCACAUCGGCAAGAGUAGGAGAAGCAGGGCCAUGACCAAAUACAAAUGCAUUGAGGGUAUCAGACCAGAAGUAUGAAGCAGCUAUCAACAGCGAUUCAUUCCUCUCCAUAUCAGCAAUGGACAGCCUAAUGCAUUGAUCUAGUCUACGCUCACCCCAUUGAACUUCAUUCGAGUUACCGAUUCUCAGAAACCAGUCUUUCCACCCUUUAGUAGAACUAGGCCCAGAUCGAAAGGUAUCUUUCCACAGAUCUAAUGAAAAAUUCUGGGCUCUAAUGGGGAUCCUAUUUGUUUCUACGUUUAACAAAUCGGUGGGAUCUGGAUUCCCCAGUGGACCAAGGCAUUGAAAGUGGGGUUGAUCGGUAGGAAUUACAAUCUUAUCAACCAAUUCCUAAAAGGUUUGAAGGUUGAAAGAACAGGGAAAAAACAAAGAAGAGGAAAAACGUACUCAGUAAAUAUAAUUGCAGAGAUAUAGAAGUACAAUAAAAAAAGGAGAAGAAAGGGGAUGUUCAGUUGACCUCAGAAACGACGAAGUUGAUGGCCAUUUCUUCCCGAGAGGAAGGAAGAAUCGAAGACUCGGAAGAUGGUUGGAGGAGAUCCUUGCUAGAGUUCUUGAAGUUCUCGAACAUUGCUGCCACCAGAGAGGUGGGUUUGAGGAUGUAGAAUGACAAGAUGGAUGAAGAGUACCGAAAAAGGAAGUAUUUAUAGGACAAAGAGGGCAGGGGCAAAUCUGACUUAUCUCUUCGCCGUAUCCGAGAAAUCCUAGGGUGUUCAGGUGGAUAUGGUAACCGUUCGAACGGUGAUCAAGGGAUUGCGCAGGUGAUUUGACAACAAGCGGUCAUGGUUUCGGAGAUAUCUUACUGUGCAAUAUCUCCUGGUCGGCUCAUCGGCAGUUUUCUCCAACGGAAAUGUUGCCGAUGAACGUAUACUAGGGAAAUUCAGUUCCAAAAGUUGGGGAUUCGAGGUGCGCGCUGGAAGACCGGACUGAGGUUGUUUUGAUUUGGUAAUUAAUUGCUGAUAGGAAGGAGUAAUUGUGGAAAGGCAGCAUUAUCGGAGAGAAUUUUGGAGCAUUAAUGAUUUUAUACUCCAAAAUUGGGGGGCAUGUGUUGACACCAUUUUUGGACAUGUAUCUUUGGACGUGUAUCUGGAGUUGAUGAGGUGUAGAUUGGCAGGCAGAGAUGUGGUAACUAAUUUCACAAAAGAGUUGCGAUGAAGGUUGGUGCCAAUGAGAAAACGACAAGAUAUAGCCAUGUCCGGGAGCGAUGAUGGAUCCGUGCUGAUGACUGAUGCUGGUGGUUGCCGAUGACUGAUGUUGAUGGUUGUAGAUGGCUACAGAAGGUGAUUUGCCGAUGGAUAUGAAAGAAGGUACAAGGAUUGAUGAUCGGGUGGUGAUGGUGUGUCGAACGGUUGUGGGAGAUAAUUUAAUGCUUUCUAUAGUUGUUAGAGUUUGUUUUGUAUAUGGAUUCUGUUUAAUUUGGAAUUCGAGCCCUAGUCAUGUCUGGUUGUAACCCUUUUGGAUAGGGUAUUCUUAACAUCAUUACCAAAAGUAGACAAUUUUCUAAUUCUAGUAACGGUGCCAAAAAUGCCAAACCUAUCCCUCAUACCACUUAAGCCAAGUUGUCAUCCCCAGCAUGACAUGAGAGAUUCGGUAUUGAAAUAUGCAAUUGCUCUUCUAAAUAAAUAAUGAAUGGGAUCUGCAAGCGCACAGAUUAAUACCAAUGUAGCAUUUUAACCGGGAAGUAUUCCAGGUAUCGUUAUUUAUAUUUUUACCACUAGAAAGGGAUUAACAAUCAUCAACAUUGAUUACAGAAUAGAAUAUGAGAUUGAGUAUCUAUCAUUGCAUGUAUAAUUGAGAACAUUUAUCUAACUCUUUCAUACAGGGAUAAGUGUCACAUAAAAGAUAUAUGAAGUAAUGAAUAGUGACAAAGAUAAUUAAUCUGAUCAGCAUAACUAGCCACAUAAUAAAUAUGAUAAGCACCUCAAUUAGAUACUCUAGAAAGUCAUUAGCAUGGAAUUAGAACGAACUACAAGAAUAUUUCCUAAGUUAUUCUCAACUAUAUAGUCUAGCAUAUCAUAGUUAGUGCAAGCAUACUUAGCAAUCAUUGCGAGACAAGACUACGCCCAUGCAUAGUGAUAUUAGCAAGGUAAAUGAGAAACAUAGCAAUCAUUCCCCUGUAAUAAUAUUGCUCUGCGGGCCCAAUACACGAGAGGGGGACUAUAUAAGAAUCAAUGAAGCUGUCACUAUCACGAACUACCCCACGAUCUGGCAUAUUGGGUACAAUCGCAGAUAAAUACGGUAUAAGCACCACGCCUACACAAUAUCUAUCAUUUACCCAUGGAUCCGAUGGAUAAACGCUGUACGAUCCUAAGCAUGUAUAUAGAUCCAAUCUAACUAAGCCAAGUACAUAACUAUGAUAAACUAAGAACAAUAUAAUCUUAAAUAUAAGCAAGUAGAGCAAAGUCAUAAGCAAUAUAUUGAAGUAGAACAAAGUCAUAUUUAUAAUAUUGAAGAACAAAGAUAAUUAGAAGAACAAUUAGAAGCACAAUUAGAGAAUUACCAAGAAUCCUCUUGACAGAUCCGGAAACCAAUCGAAGAUUGACUCCUUCUAGUUCUAAUCCUAUGUAGCUAUGCUAAUCUAGAUGUCUAAUUGAUGUGGUGGCUCUAAUCUUGAUCAGAGGCUUCUUCUCCCUUGAGGAAUAAUGAUUUAGGGUUGAGAGACUCUCUCCUCCAGGGGCUAGGGGGUCUGGUUUUAUAGUCCCUUCAAGUGAAUAUGGGCCGUUGGAUCAAACCGACAUUGAUUGAACGGUUAUCCUUGAUCCUUUAGGUCGGUGGAGAUUGAUCCCAAAAGAGAGUCCUGAUUGGGCUCAGCAGGAGGGCGGGCGCCCAGGGCAACUAGGCGGGCGCCAAGUGCCUCGCCCCGUUCGGCCUCCGCUUCCUUCCCGUGGCUUCUGGAGUCUUCUAGAUGUAAGAUAAUUGCGUGGCACGUUGAUAUCUCUAUGUAAUCCUGACGUGUGGGCCUUUCUUCCUUAUUUCCUGAUAACCCCCUGCAGAAAUAGACAAACACCAAAACUCGUGGAAUUCUAUCAGAUAAAACCCUAAGUCUAGAUGUUGAUUUCAUUUGGAUCCUUUUCUUUGUUUAUUUGAUAAUUAAAUUUGAUACUUAAGGACCGUCAACAAACUUCCCCAAGCUUACCCCUUGCUCGUCCCUGAGCAAGGAUAGACUCAACGAUGGAUUCGAAGUUGUUGCAAUAUCUUUAAAAAUUGACGGUACACAUGCUUCUAAAUAAGGUCUUAUCUCUGAGUUAGAGUAAACUGUUAAGACUUAAAACUUACUUACUUUACCUUUCACCAUGGGACUUGUAACCGUCACUUCUGUCUUGAGUGGUUAAAAGAUAGAACAGUCUAGUCAAGUGUCAUGUCUCUUAUUCUUGAUCAGCUAUAGCUCUAGAGUUUUUGCAGAUUUUCAAAUAAAACUCAGAGAUUCCUUGUAUGAUUCUCUCAGAUCUCUCUUUUGUGGUAUUUCUGGAUCCUUACCAAGGCAGUGAUGGUAUAUGCCUUCUCUCAAAAAGUAUGUGGUAUUUGUGGUAUAAGGCAUAGUGACAUUGCCUUCUCUCUCAUCCUACUCUAAUGAGGCUUUAAUAUCUGGAGCUCAUAGGUGGGAGAUAAAAUAUACAUACUUACAAGACAUUUAUUGCAUAGUCAAACCAUGGAUCCAAAGAAACAAAUCAAUAAGUCAAAUCAAGAUGUGCAUGUGUGGCGGAUGAAUGGUGUAUGGUGAUGAUGGUGAUAACAAUUGUGAAAGUCUAAUUCUACUUUUGCUCUUUCAGGGGAUACAUACCUUCCUUGCUUUCUGAAACUUUAUGAGGAGAAUGAGAUGCUCUUCUUUUUCUUUCCUCUCAGGUGGGUAUCUUGUACCCCUAAUUCUACUGUCGAACACUUGUCCUUUUUUACCUCUCGUCUCACUUUUUUCUUUUUUCUUUCGAGGUUUCGGGCACUUGCCCCUUUUUAUUUCCUCGUAUUUUUUUCUCUUUUUUAGAGCACUCAUCUUUUGAGAUAAUAUAGCAAGUAGUAGUAACAAGAUAACUUGAGCAUUUAUUUCACAGGGAAAAACAGAAAUAUUUUUGGCUAUUCUGUCCCGGAUUAGGAGUAGAAUAUUUUUUGGGUGGUUCUGGAGAUGGAAAUGGAUGGAUAUAUAUGGAUGGUACUUCCGGAAUAGAAGUAGCAUGUUUGAGUGAAUGUGCAAGUGAAAUCUUGAUUUAACAACAUGACAAGCUCCUAAGGGUCUACACAGCUUGACAACACUCAAUGCUCAUAAGCAGUAAAUAGUAAAUGUGUGGCUCAAAGUCUAGCAAGCAUGUAUAUAUGGCUGUGGUAGGAAUUUAAACUCUCAUCAUACAGGAACUCAUCAUGCAACAUUUUAAAGAUUUUUAAAGAUAAAAUUCUCCAGAAUUCUAGCAUCUCUAGGAAUAGAUAAACAGCAGCUCAACCUUCCCACAUCAUAUCCGUUAACAACUUAGACUUCAGAUCAAGUUUUCAUCCCACAAGUUCAGAUUUAGAGCAUGCUUUAAAUUAUAACAGUUAUAUCUAAACUUGAGAGAGAACUUAAAAUUUGCAAAUUAGGCAGAGCAACUAUUCAUCAUAUCCAUGCUAGAGUUUUAUUUAGAUACAGAUUAGCAAAGCCACUUUAUUUAUUUAUUAAACACACUAAGCAAAAGGCAAAUAUAUAAGCAUAAAAUCUUUAUUUGUUUUUCCAUAAUUAUGUAUAUUUAUAUUUUAAUAUAGUAUAAGUAUAAAGAUAGAUAGAAAUACUUAUCGGGAUAAAUGGGGAUGCUCUCCCCCAAGCUGAAUUUUGACGUAAUUUUCCUUGAUGUAGCUAGCAGGUGGCAGAGGUGUAUUUGAAAGUCGGCAGCAUUCUCACAGCGAUUAGAGUGUCCUCCGUCUGCUAGUCUUUCUUGAUUUUUAAAUUUUGUGGAGCUCAAAUAGACAACAAAGCUUGUGGAACUGAUUAAGUGUUAGCAUAAAUAUCUAGCCUUUAUCAUGUUGAGACUCCUUAAUAAUUAUUGCUCCCAAAUUUUUUUAUAUUUUCAUUUUCUAAAGUAAAAAAGAAAUAUUUAUUUUAUUUUUAUGCCACCACAGUGAAUGUACAUAUGGGUAUUAUGCCACUCGUAUACACACAUGGGGCUUACUGUUUUUCAUAUUUUUAUUUUCUUUUUAAGAUAGUAUGAACAUAAUUAACUAAGUGAACUAUUUAAAUAAUUGAAACGGAAAGGAUAACUACUAAGUUUACCUCUUGGCAAGGCGUUCGGUGUUUUUAAGUCCUCCGAAUAGGACUCUCCAUUUUCUCAAUUGUCCUGGGAUUCAUUGGGUGGCGUAGUCGGUACUUCCGGCGGCGCCUCUUCUUCAUGUAUAGUUAUCUUCUCCUUCCAUACCUGACUCGGUGCUACGGUCUCCUCUGAAUAGUUCUGUUUAAACUCUACGUCUUCUGAUCUUAUCAGUUCUUCUUCGUAGUCUGCCCAUCCGUCCUUGAUGAUUUGCCUCCUCAGGUUGCGGUUGCGUCGUUUUCUUACCUGCUUAGAUUCUUCAAAGAUGUAGUUAGGGUCAGUAAAAUAACGGCGUACCUUCUCUGAGGUGAAGUGCAUAUGGACUUCUCCGAUUCCAAUGUAGAUAAUUGCUUUAACGGUGCUGAGGAACGGUCUUCUAAGGAUGAUGGGUGGAUCGUACUCAUCUUCUCCCAUGUCAAUAACCUGAAAGUCUGUGUAGACAAAAUGAUCGUCUAUUUUGACUGGAACAUCAGUAACUGUUCCUUUAACCUCUCGAAAUUUCUGAUCUGCCAUCUAGAGCUGAAUGUAUGUUGGUUUCAGGGGCAUGGUUCCGAACAAGAGCCGAUAGGUGACUGCGGCCAUUAUGUUGACGCCCGAUCCGGUGUCGCAAGUCGUCUUGUAGAAGUUGUAUCCAUUUAUGGAGCAAUAGAUGCUUGGCAUUCAUGGGUCGUCCUUCUUGGUCAAAAACGGUGAAUUAAGUUGAUGAUCUUGGUCUCCUUGAACUACAGUGACCAUCUUAGCUGACUCGGUCCACACUUGCUUGUUCCUGUUCCUCCUGUUGGUCCUCUUCCUUGAUUCACGUCUGGAUUGAUCUGGGAUUUGUGUAGCCUUGUUCUUGAAGGAAAACUUCUCCUUCUUCCGUUUGAUGUGGAAACUGAUCUUGGCAGCACUAGCGUAGAUGACAGCUCCCGAGGUGUUCAAGAAUGGCCUCCCUAAGAUGAUGGGUGCUCUCUCAUCAUUACCGGUCUCUAUCACCACGAAGUCGGCUAGGGCACACAAGGUACCAACUCGGACACAAAGGUUCUUCAAUAUUCCUUUUGGAAAACUUAAUGCCUGAUCUGCAAACUACAAACACAUGGUUGUCUCUAAUAAAGGAUAUGUAAAGAAUUUUUCAUAGAGUACCCUGGGUAUAAUGUUGACGCUGGAGCCAAAGUCACAGAGUGCUUCUGGAACGUCCACCAUGCCAAUGGAGAUCGGGAUGACGGGGCGUCCUGGAUCGCCUCUCUCGACUGGCAGAAGGUCAGUAGUGAAUUCAAUGACGGGGUUACUCCAAUUACCUGCAUCAAACAUGUCUACAAGAUUUGCAGAUUCUAAUCCUUCAGGUUGUGAUGGUAUACCGGGGUUAGUAGUAGGAACAGCAGCACCUAUUUGAUUUAACUGAGAUUCAAUCAUUUUAUUAAAGCUAAUUUGAUUCUUGAUGGCAGUAGAGAAAUUAUCCAUUCUAUUAUUUAUAUUUUCUAGCAUUUUAUCAUCAGAUGCCAAUUUCUUAGAUAGGUUAUCCAUUAGCUUUCCUUGAUUAGACACUAACUCUCUCAGAGGUGUAAAAUUAUUAUUAUUGUUGUAAGAAUUGUUACCUUGAUAAUUACCUGAGUAGUUAGGCCUCUGUUGAUUCCAACCUUGAUUUUGUUGAGGACGGUUGUAGUAGUUGUUGUUAUUGUUGAUGUAGUUCACAUUCUCAAGCAUCUUAGGGCAGUGAUUGCCUGAGUGUCCAGUGUCUCCACACUCCUCACAAGUCAUGUGAGAGUCGUAGAUGUGCAUAACUUCUUUCUUGUCUCCAGCUAUAUCAUCGAGCUUCUUCAUGAGCAGGUCUAGCUUUGCAGACAGCAUGUCUACCUCCUUGAGCUGAUGCAUACCUCCACCUCUCUUGCGUGUCUGGGUCCUCUCUUCAUUCCAGCCUUGAUUGGACGCCAUCUUCUCCACAAGAGUUGUGGCUUGUGAUAUGGUAAGUGAUAAGAAUGCUCCUCCAGCUGCAGCAUCCAUGGUUUCUCGGGCACUGUUGCCGAGCCCAUGAUAAAAUGUUUGCAUCAAUAGCCAACCCUCCAUUCCAUGAUGGGGACAUUCUAGGAUGUAGUCUUGGAAGCGCUCCCAUGCUUCUGGAACAGAUUCAUCAUUUUGUUGCUGAAAACUUGUAAUCUUCCCACGGAGAGCAUUGGUCUUGCCCAUAGGAAAGAACUUAGCCAGGAAGUUUGUUGAGCAGAGUGCCCACGUAGUAUUCUUCUCCUUUGUAGCGUAGAACCACUGCUUCGCUCUUCCUAACAGUGAGAAUGGGAAGAGGCGAAGUAGUAUAGCAUCUCUGGAGACUCUUGAUAUGGUGAAUGUGUUGCAAACCUCUAGGAAGUGUUGGAGAUGAGCACUAGCAUCUUCGUGUGCCUUCCCACAGAACUGGUUGGAUUGCACCAUGUUGAUAAGUCCAGGCUUGAGCUCAAAGUUGCCGUCGAUCUCUGCAGCAGGUCCAGUGCGGAUGUUGUCCGUAGUGGGAGCUGAGAACUCGCGGAUUGAUUUGUUCGCCAUGGCUUCGAACUCUGAAGACAAGUUCCGGUGAUCUUCUUGAUUGGAUGAAGCUUCUUGCUGAAGUGUUGAUGAUCUCUUCUUGAGCUUGGCUCUGGUUUUUCUGAAUAAUGCUUCGGGAUUGUCAACAAAAUUUCCUGGAAGAUGUCUUCUAUUCAUACAUUCCCCUGCAUAAGAUAAAAUAGAAAAUAUCGGGGUAAAACUGUAUGAGAGAAUAGAUAAACUCAAUCAUAUUAGUGAUGCGAAUGAUGACUCGAAAAUCAAUAUCCAUUCCUGAUUAGUAAUCAACCUUCCCCGGCAACGGCGCCAAAAAAUGCUUGUUGGGUAUUCUUAACAUCAUUACCAAAAGUAGACAGUUUUCUAAUUCUAGUAACGGUGCCAAAAAUACCAAACCUAUCCCUCAUACCACUUAAGCCAAGUUGUCAUCCCCAGCAUGACAUGAGAGACGCGGUAUUGAAAUAUGCAAUUGCUCUACUAAAUAAAUAAUGAAUGGGAUCUGCCAGCGCACAGAUUAAUACCGAUGUAGCAUUUUAACCGGGAAGUAUUCCACGUAUCGUUAUUUAUAUUUUUACCACUAGGAAGGGAUUAACAAUCAUCAACAUUGAUUACAGAAUAGAAUAUGAGAUUGAGUAUCUAUCAUUGCAUGUAUAAUUGAGAACAUUUAUCUAACUCUUUCAUACAGGGAUAAGUGUCACAUAAAAGAUAUAUGAAGUAAUGAAUAGUGACAAAGAUAAUUAAUCUGAUCAGCAUAACUAGCCACAUAAUAAAUAUGAUAAGCACCUCAAUUAGAUACUCUAGAAAGUCAUUAGCAUGGAAUUAGAACGAACUACAAGAAUAUUUCCUAAGUUAUUCUCAACUAUAUAGUCUAGCAUAUCAUAGUUAGUGCAAGCAUACUUAGCAAUCAUUGCGAGACAAGACUACGCCCAUGCAUAGUGAUAUUAGCAGGGUAAAUGAGAAACAUAGCAAUCACUCCCCUAUAAUAAUAUUGCUCUGCCAGCCCAAUACACGAGAGGGGGACUAUAUAAGAAUCAAUGAAGCUGUCACUAUCACGAACUACCCCACGAUCUGGCAUAUUGGGUACAAUUGCAGAUAAAUACGGUAUAAGCACCACGCCUACACAAUAUCUAUCAUUUACCCAUGGAUCCGAAGGACAAACGCUAUACGAUCCUAAGCAUGUAUAUAGAUCCAAUCUAACUAAGCCAAGUACUUAACUAUGAUAAACUAAGAACAAUAUAAUCUUGAAUAUAAGCAAGUAGAGAAAAGUCAUAAGCAAUAUAUUGAAGUAGAACAAAGUCAUAUUCAUAAUAUUGAAGAAUAAAGAUAAUUAGAAGAACAAUUAGAAGCACAAUUAGAGAAUUACCAAGAAUUCUCUUGAUAGAUCCGGAAACCAAUCGAAGAUUGACUCCUUCUAGUUCUAAUCCUAUGUAGCUAUGCUAAUCUAGAUGUCUAAUUGAUGUGGUGGCUCUAAUCUUGAUCAGAGGCUUCUUCUCCCUUAAGGAAUAAUGAAUUAGGGUUGAGAGGCUCUCUCCUCUAGGGGCUAGGGGGUCUGGUUUUAUAGUCCCUUCAAGUGAAUAUGGGCCGUGGGAUCAAACCGACAUUGAUUGAACGGUUAUCCUUGAUCCUUUAGGUCGGUGGAGAUUGAUCCCGAAAGAGAGUCCUGAUUGGGCUCAGCAGGAGGGCGGGCGCCCAGGGCAACUAGGCGGGAGCCCAGUGCCUGGCCCCCUUCGGCCUCCGCUUCCUUCUCGUGGCUUCUGGAGUCUUCUAGAUGUAACAUAAUUGCAUGGCACGUUGAUAUCUCUAUGUAAUCCCGACGUGUGGGCCUUUCUUCCUUAUUUCCUGAUAACCCCAUGCAGAAAUAGACAAACACCAAAACUCGUGGGAUUCUGUCAGAUAAAACCCUAAGUCUAGAUGUUGAUUUCAUUUGGAUCCUUUUCUUUGUUUAUUUGAUCAUUAGAUUUGAUACUUAAGGACCGUCAACAAGCGCACGAAUACCAUUGUAGCUUUUACCCGGUUAAAGGUUUUAUCGUAUCCACAGGAAAACGGGGGAACCAACUACGCUCUAACUUAACCAAGAUAGAUAGAUAAGUGUAAAUAGGAAAGAUGGUAGAAUUGAAUAAGAACAAUAUUAAAGGUAAGAUAACAAUGGUGAUAAUAUGGAAAUAGAGAUUAGAGCAAUCUAGUAUAUGGGCGAUGGUAGAGAAUAGAGAGAAUAACUAUGGUUUCUUUACUUCAAAGGGGUAUGUCUAUGUCUGGGAUGAACCACGUGAUAAGAAUACACCACAAAGGAUGCUUAUCCAUAGGCCGAUAAACCCUACCCAUCCUGCUAAUAGGAGGUGGACUACAGGGGACCAACGUAACUAUCACCUACGUGGCCUACCACAUGAUCCAGCUAGACAGGGGAUAUCCACAAGUAAUCUAGGUCUAAGCACCACGCUUACACCUAUACUACAACUCUAACCUAUAGGGUCCUAUAGAUUAUAAGUACUCAAAAGAGUUGUGAACCAGAACAUACAUGAUUAGUAAUUGCAUAAUGAAUUAGAAGUAGAUUACCAGAGUCAUCCCAUGAGCAAGCUUGAUUAGAGCUUGAUCAUGGCAAUGUACAACCGGAGGAAGAACCGACAGGCCGGCCUCUCCUCCAAUCCUCCCUCGCUCUCCAUCUCGCUACUAUCUAGGUCUACUCUAGUUUAGAGAUGAGACGAGAGCUCUCAUCUCCAAACCCUAGCUUUUGCUCUGUCUAUGAAUAAUGAAUAGGGAUCAAGGGGUUGCCUCCUCUAGGGAUCAAGGGAUCAAGGGGUUGCCCCCUCAAGUGAAUCUGGGCCGUCGGAUCAAACUGACAAUGAUUGAACGGUUAUUCUUGAUCCUUUAGGUCGGUGGAGCAUAAUCCUCGAAGCGAGUCCUGAUUGGACUCUGGGACAGGGCGGGCGCCCAAAGGGGGGAGGGCGGGCGCCCUGCCCCCGAGCCCGCUCGGCCUCCCGUUCGUUCCUGUGGCUUUUGGAGUCUUCUAGAUGAUAGAAAAUUGCGCGGCACGUUCAUAUCUCUAUGUAAACCCGACAUGUGGGCCUUUCCUCCAUAUUUCCUGAUAACCCCCUGCAUAAAUAGACAAACACCAAAACUUGUGGAAUUCUGUCAGAUAAAACCCUAAGUUUAGGUGUUGGUUGUAUUUGGAUCCUUUUCUUUAUUUAUUUGAUGAUUAUAUUUGGUACUUAAGGACCGUCAACAACUCCCCCAAGCUUACCUCUUGCUUGUCCCUGAGCAAGGAUGGACUCAGGAGUUUCUUCAGUGGUUUCAUGCCUUGAAGGUACACAUGCAUUCAAACAAGAUCUCAUCUCUAGGUUAGGGUAAACUGUUAAGAUUUAAACUUACUCAUAUUUCCUUCCACCAUGGGGCUUGCAACCGUCACUUGUGUCUUGAGCAGUUAAAGGAUAGAAUGGUCAAGUCAAGCGCCAUGUCUCUUGUUCUUGAUCAACUAUAGCUCUAGAGUUUUUUUUUGCAGAUUUUCAAAUAAAACUCAGAGAUUCCUUUUAUGACUCUCUCAAAUCUCUCUUUUGUGGUAUUUCUGGAUCCUUACCAAGGCAGUGAUGAUAUAUGCCUUCUCUCAAAGUAUGUAGUAUUUGUGGUAUGAGGCAUAGUGAUAUUGCCUUCUCUCUCAUCCUACUCUAAUGAGGCUUUGAUAUCUGGAGCUCAUAGGUGGGAGACAGCUAAUACAUACUUACAAGACAUGGAUCCAGAGAAACAAGUCAAUAAGUGAAAUCAAGAUGUGCAUGUGUGGCGAAUGAAUGGUGUAUGGUGAUGAUGGUGAUAAUGGUGAAAACAAUGGUGAAAGUCUAAUUCUACUUUUGCUCUUUUGAAGGGAUACAUACCUUUCUUGCACUUUGAAGCUUUUUGAGGGGAAUGAGAUGCUCUAUAUUUUCUUUUUCUUUUCUCUCAGGUGGGCAUCUUGUACCCCUAAUUCUACUAUCGGACACUUGUCCAUUUUUACCUCUCACCUCACUUCUCUUUUCUUCGAGGUUCCGGGCACUUGCCCCAUUUUAUUUCCUCGUAUUUUUUUUCAAAGCACUCACCCUCCUAGAAUAAUGUAGCAAGUGGUAGUAAACAAAAUAUCAAGAGCAUUUAUUUCACGGGGAAUAACAGGGAUAGGAUAAUGUAUUCUCUCUCGGAUAGGAGUAGAAUCAUUUUAGGUGAAUCUGGAGAUGGGAAUGAGUGGAUGUAUGUGGAUGCGUACUUCCAGAGUAGAAGUAGCAUGUAUGAGUGAACGUGCAAGUGAAUCUUGAUUUUAACCGCAUGACAAGUUCCUAAGGGUAUACAUAACUUGACCACACUCAAUGCUCAUAGUAGUAGUAAAUGUACGGUUCAUAGUCUAAUAAGCAUGUAUAUGUGGCUAUGGUAGGAUUUUAAACUCUCGUCAUACUGGAACUCAUCAUGCAACAUUUUAAAGAUUUUCAAAGAUAAAAUUCUCCAGAAUUCUAGCAUCUCUAGUAAUAGAUAAACAGCAGCUCAACCUUCCCAUAUCAUAUCCGUUAACGUCUUAGACUUUAGAUCAAGUACUCUUCCCACAAGUUCAGGUUUAGAGCAAAUCUUAAUUCAUAACAGUCAUGCCUAAACUUGAGAGAGAAUUCAAUUUUGAGAACUAGUCAUGGCAGAGCAACUAUUCAUCAUUUCCAUGUGAGAGCUUAUCAUGAGGGUUCAUAGCAAACUUUAUUUAUUUAUUUAUUUAGCAAACUAUGGAUAGAUAUAUAUAUAUAAGCAUAAAAUCUUUAUUUGGGUUUUUAUGAUUAUGCAUCUUUUUAUUAUUUGAGUAAAGUAUAAACGCGAGUAGAAACACUUAGCUGGAUAAAUGGGGGUGCUCUCCCCCAAGCUGGAUUUUGACGUAAUUUCUUUUGAUGUAGCUACUAGGUAGCGGAGGUGUAUUUGAAUGUCGGCAGCACCCUGACAGCGAUUAGAAUGUCCUCCAUCUGCUAGUCUUCUUUGAUCCUUGAAUUUUGUGGAGCUCAAACAAAGCUUUGUGGAACUGGUUAAGUGUUAGCAUAAAAUCUCUUCGCCUUUAUCAUGUCGAGCUUCCUCUAAUAAAUAUUACUCUCUUUGGUAGGAUCAUAAAUUUAUUUUUAUAUUUUCAUUUCUAUAGGACAGGAAUAUAUUUAUUUUAUUUUUUACGCCACCAUAGUGAAUGCACUUAUGGCUUUCAUGCUACAAGCAUACUCACAUGGGGCUUAGUAUUUUUAACAUUUUUAUUUUCUUUUCAGGAUAACAUGAUUAACUAAUAAGCUAUUUAAGGAAAGUAGGUAAUUAAAGGGAAAAGGGAAUGCAGAAAGGAUAAAUAUGGAUAACUACUGAUUUUACCUUUCGGCGAGGGUUCAAUGUUUUAAGUCUUCUAAACAAGACUUCUCACCGUGUUCAUUCUUCACGUGCGUCAUUUGAUUCAGGUGCGGACCUUGACGUCUGCACCUCUUGAUACGGUGUCUCCCAUGUUCUUCGUUUGCCCAGCAGUUUGAAGUGCGGCGUUGGCAGCAUCCUGCUCAGUGUGUUCGUGCUCGUAGAUCCAAGUCCUUCACUUGAUAGAGUCUGAGAGUUGUAAAACUCCACCAUGUUUUGCUCCAAGUGUACCUGCUCAUAGAGACAAGGCAGAGAUCAAGUGCAUGGGUCCUGUUGGUGGAAAAUGUUGAUAUUUGGUAACGCAAUUAGAAAAUGAUCCGCAAGCGCACGGAUAUCGGUGAGCAUUUCACCCGGGAGGUUUUCCAGAGUAUCGUAUUUAUAUUUUUACCACUGGGAGAAAGGGUGCAUCUGACUAACCAAAUCUAUUGCUAUUAUCCCUUUAGGCUACAAAGAAUGUCUCUCGAUGUGAGUGAUGUAUAGAGAAGACUGCAACUGUAGUCUCGUUCUAACCUUGGUAAGGAUGAUCUAUUGUUCUAUUGGGGAGGCUCACGGAAUCUAGACAACACAAAGGAUGUUCGACCCGCACCUAUAAACCUACCCGUCCUGCUAACGAGAUGUGAUCUACAAAGGUAGCUCGGAAAUGUCACAUUCCUCGCUACUACCACGGUCCAGCUAGUCAGGGGAUAUCUAUGAGUACCCUAGCCUAAACACCACGUUUACGCUAACAAGUGAUUACUCUAAUACUCAACCGGAAGAGGAUUAAAGUAAACUCAUAAACCAAAGAACAAUAAAACAAGAACUUACUAGUAUUAGAAGUCGAAUUACUGAAGAAUCUUAGAAGCAAGCCUCGGGUUAGGAGACUUGAUCCCGUAGGUACAACUCGGAGUAGACACCGACAGGCCGGCCUUCCUCCGAUCUACACCUUCACUCUAUCUCUCUCAAUCUAGUAGAAACUAGAUGAUCUAAUUCUACUUUACAUUGGUUGCUAAGCCUAAAAAGAAAUAUUAUUUAGAGAAGAGGUUUUCCUUCGAGGGCACCCCUCAAUCUCUAUGAUAAUUUCUUGUUUUCUCCAGGGCCAGAGGGGGUCUCCUUAUAUAGUCCUCCCCUUCUAUGCGUUUUUGGGUCGAUAGGCAAGGUGGUACUAUGUUAUUCUGGAUCCAAUAGGUCGGUGGAACGUUGUGUGCGAAGAGAGUCCUGUUUGGACCCGACAGGUGGGCGGGCGCCCAGGUCCUUAGGGCGGGCGCCCUGGGCCUGGCCCCGUUUCGCCUCCGCUUCGGUCUCGUGGCUUCUGGAGUCUUCUAGAUGGUAGAAAAUUGCGCAGUGUGUUGAUAUCUCUAUGUAAUCCAGACAUGUGGGCCUUUCUUCCUUAUUUCCUGAUAACCCCCUGCAGAAAUAGACAAACACCAAAACUCGUGGAAUUCUGUCAGAUAAAACCCUAAGUCUAGAUGUUGAUUUCAUUUGGAUCCUUUUCUUUGUUUAUUUGAUAAUUAAAUUUGAUACUUAAGGACCGUCAACAAACUCCCCCAAGCUUACCUCUUGCUCGUCCCUGAGCAAGGAUGAACUCAAGAGUUCCUGCAGUGGUUUCAUUUCUUAGAAGUACACACGCAUUUAAGCAAGAUCUCAUCUCUGAGUUAGAAUAAACUGUUUAGACUUAAAACUUACUUACUUUACCUAAACCAUAGGAUUUGUAACCGUCACUUCUGUCUUGAGUGGUUAAAAGAUAGAACAGUCUAGCCAAGUGCCAUGUCUCUUAUUCUUGAUCAGCUAUAGCUCUGGGGUUUUUUGCAGAUUUUCAAAUAAAACUCAAAGAUUCCUUGUAUGAUUCUCUCAGAUCUCUCUUUUGUGGUAUUUUUGGAUCCUUACCAAGGCAGUGAUGGUAUAUGCCUUCUCUCAAGAUAUGUAGUAUUUGUGGUAUGAAGCAUAGUGACAUUGUCUUCUCUCUCACCCUACUCUAAUAAGGCUUUAAUAUCUGGAGCUCAUAGGUGGGAGAUAAAGUAUACAUACUUACAAGACAUUUAUUGCAUAGUCAAACCAUGGAUCCAAAGAAACAAAUCAAUAAGCCAAAUCAAGAUGUGCAUGUGUGGCGAAUGAAUGGUGUAUGGUGAUGAUGGUGAUAACAAUGGUGAAAACAAUGGUGGUGGAAGUCUAAUUCUACUUUUGCUCUUUGAGGGGAUACAUACCUUCCUUGCUUUUGAAACUUUAUGAGGAGAAUGAGAUGCUCUUCUUUUUCUUUUCUCUCAGGUGGGUAUCUUGCACCCCUAAUUCUACUGUCGGACACUUGUCCAUUUUUACCUCUCGUCUCACUUUUUCUUUUCUUUCGAGGUUCCGAGCACUUGCUCCUUUUUAUUUCCUCGUAUAUAUAUAUAUAUAUUUUUUCUUCUUUUCUUUUUUUUUCUUCUCUCUUUUUUUUUAAGAGCACUCAUCUCUUGAGAUAAUAUAGCAAGUGGUAGUAACAAGAUAACUUGAGCAUUUAUUUCACAAGGGAAAGACAGAAAUAUUUUUGGUUAUUCUCUCCCGGAUUAAGAGUAGAAUAUUUUUGAGUGGUUCUGGAGAUAGAAAUGGAUGGAUAUAUGUGGAUGGUACUUCCGUAAUAGAAGUAGCAUAUAUGAGUGGACGUGCAAGUGAAAUCUUGAUUUAACCACAUGACAAGCUCCUAAGGGUCUACACAGCUUGACCACAUUCAAUGCUCAUAAGCAGUAAAUAGUAAAUGUGUGGCUCCAAGUCUAAUAAGCAUGUAUAUAUGGCUGUGGUAGGAAUUUAAACUCUCAUCAUACAGGAACUCAUCAUGCAACAUUUUAAAGAUUUUCAAAGAUAAAAUUCUCCAGAAUUCUAGCAUCUCUAGGAACAGAUAAACAGCAGCUCAACCUUCCCAUAUCGUAUCCGUUAACAACUUAGACUUCAGAUCAAGUUUUCAUCCCACAAGUUUAGAUCUAGAGCAAGCUUUAAAUUAUAACAGUUAUGUCUAAACUUGAGAGAGAACUUUAAAUUUGCAAAUUAGGCAGAGCAACUAUUCAUCAUAUCCAUGCUAGAGUUUUAUUAUUAAGAUUCAUAGCAAACUUUGUUUAUUUAUUUAUUUAUUUAUUUAGCAAACUAAGAAAAGAUAUAUAUAUAUAUAAGCAUAAAAUCUUUAUUUGGUUUUUUAUAGUUUAUGUAUUUUAAUAUUCUAAUAUAGUAUAAGUAUAAAGAUAGAUAGAAAUACUUAUCGAGAUAAAUGGGGGUGCUCUCCCCCAAGCUGAAUUUUGACGUAAUUUCUCUUGAUGUAGCUAGCAGGUGGCAAAGGUGUGUUUGAAAGUCAGCAGUAUUCUGACAGCGAUUAGAAUGUCCUCCGUCUGCUAGUCUUCUUGAUUCUUAAAUUCUGUGGAGCUCAAAUAGACAACAAAGCUUGUGGAACUGAUUAAGUGUUAGCAUAAAUAUCUAGCCUUUAUCAUGUUGAGACUCCUUAAUAAAUAUUAAUCCCUGUUUUUAUAUUUUUAUUUUUAUAAAGCAGAAAAAUAUUUAUUUUAUUUUUAUGCCACCACAGUGAAUGUACUUAUGGGUUUUAUGCCAUGAGCAUACUCACAUGGGGCUUACUAUUUUUUUAGCAUUUUUAUUUUCUUUUCAAGAUAGCAUGAACCUGAUUAACUAAGCAAACUAUAAUUGAAUAAUUGAAAGGAAAAGGAUAACUACCAAGUUUACCUCUUGGCAAGGCGUUCGGUGUUUUUAAGUCCUCCGAAUGGGACUCCUUGUGUUUUCAGUCGUCCUGGGAUUCGCUAGGUGGCGUAGUCGGUGAUUCCGGUGGUGCCUCCUCUUUGUGUAUAACUAUCUUUUCUUUCUGACUCGGUGCUACGGUCUCCUCAGGACAGUUCUGUUCAAGUUGUAUGUCUUCAGUCCUUAUCACUUCUCCUUCGUAGUCUACCCAUCCGUCCUUGAUGAUUUGCCUCCUCUGGUUGCGGUUGCGUUGUCUUCUUUUUGUCCUGACCUGCUUAGAAUCUUCAACUAUAUAGUUAGAAUCAUUAAAGUAGUGGCGUACCUUCUCAGAGGGGAAGUGCAUGUGGACUUCUCCGGUUCCAAUAUAGAUAAGGGCUUUGAUAGUGUUUAGGAACGGUCUUCCAAUGAUGGUGGGUGGAUCAUACUCGUCUUUUCCCAUGUCAAUGUCCUAAAAAUCAUCUGGAGCUGAAUGUAUCUUGGUUGUAGGAGCAUGGUUCCAUGCAGGAGCUGAUAAGUGACUGCGGCCAUUAUGUUGUCGUUAGAUCCGGUGUCAUAGAGUGUCUUCUGAAAAGAGUAUCUGUUGAUUGUGCAUUCGAUGCUUGGAACACCAGGGUCGUCCUUCUUGAUCAAGAAAGGUGACUUGAGUCGACUAUCUUGACCUCUUUGAACUGCAGUGACCAUCUUAGCUGACUCGGUCCACAUUUGCUUGUUCCUGUUCCUCCUGUUGGUCCUCUUCCUUGGUUCAUGUCGGGAUUGCUCUGAAAUUUGUGUAGUCUUGUUCUUGAAGGAAAGUCUCCUUCUUCCCCUUGAUGUAGAGACUGAUCUUGGUAGCAUUAGCGUAGAUGACAGCUCUGGUGUUUAGGAAUGGCCUCCCUAAGAUGAUGGGUGCUCUCUCCUCAGUACCAGUCUCUAUCACCACGAAGUUUGCUGGAGCGUACAAGGUACCACUCGGACACAGAGGUUCUUUAUCCUUUUGGUGCAUCAUUUGAUUAGGUGUGGACCUUGACAUCUGCACCUUUUGAUACGGUGUCACCCAUCUUCUUUGUUUGUCCAGUAGUUCGAAGUGCGGUGUUGGCAAUAUCCUGCUCAGUGUGUUUGUGCUCGUAGAUCCAGGUCCUUCACUUGGUGAAGUCUGGGAGUUGUAAAACUCCUCCAUGUUUUGCUUGAAGUGUACCUGUUUAUAGAGACAAGGCAGAGAUCAAGUGCAUGGGCCCUGUUAGUGGAAAACACCAACAGAACCAAAAGUGUAUUUGUUCUUCUCUAACCUUAAACAUAGUGAGCAAGACAAAGUUGAUGGAUCAUGAGUGUAGCAUUUAAAACAUUUGUUAGAUCAGAUGGCUCAACCUAAUGGAAAGAUAAUCUAUCUAUAUUUAUGUUUUGUUUAUAUCUUCCAAAGAUUUAAAUGUGCAAUACUUUAGCUUAUAUGAUUAGGAGUAUGGGAUCACGAAGGUAGUACUAAGAACAAAGAUUAAAGGACUAAACAUGCUGAAUCAGUUAGAUUGGUUAAUUUAGAGUUAUACAUGUUUGUCUCUUUAUUUAUGUGAACGCUAGAACCAAGGAGAAGCUUAUAAAAGUGAUAGUCAAGUACCUUAAAAUAUUACCUUACUUGAAGAGUGACGGUACAGCAUUACCUUGUGGAAGCUUUCCUUUCUUAGUGGUUGUGCAUCGUGUUUGUGGUACUCUUUGUCUUGUUCCAUGGAUCAUCUCUCUAUGACGAAUGAGCUAUGUCUUCCUUGUGCAAAUCGUUAAACCUCAUGUGUCACUUUCUUCAUCUCCAAUGUGAGUUUAUCUCAGGACUUCCCAGGUUGAUAUUGAAAGUUCUCCUGCAGGGGUUAGUCCCACAAAAUAUACCAAUAUCUACUCAAGCAGUUUUUAGUUCAGUAACCAAACUAGACUCCAUGUCUAAUCAGAUUAAGGAAGGCUAUUUAACCUAAGCACCACGCUUAAUUUAAAUGCCAAUGGAAGUAUGUCGAGUACUUCCAAACCAACACUUACUAGGAUAAACAAAGGUAGCAUGAUGGCAUUUAUAGAGAUCUACUCAAGUGCAGAUGAAGUAGUGUGAUUAGUAUUUAACAAAUUGAGCAUGUCUCAAAGGUAAGGACAACCAACAUAGCAACAUGGCAAAGGAUGUUUUUAUGUAAAGUACUCCCCUAAGCUUGAAUUUUGCGAAAUUCAAGUUUGGAUGAAUUUAAUUCAAUGUUGCAUGAUGAUUGGUUGGACAUACCUUGUGCUUGUCAUUCAUCUGAUCUUCUUGCUCCAAUCCUGGAAAGGUUAGUGGCAAGAAUACCCGAAGAAAUAUUUCUACAAUUAUCUCAUAUGCUCAAUACACAAGGCAAUGUUGCAAAUAAUUAGAAGUUCAUGUUACGAUCUGAUAAGUGCUUGUUUAAGGAUGCUAAGCUUAUCCUUGGGAAACCAUUAAUUUAUGUCGGCGAAGUGGUUUCCCCUCCAACGCUGACCUAUAUCAAGAUCAACUCAACGAGAUCUGCAAUAUUUAUUAUAGACAUAUGCAUCGACAACCGCCCUUUUAAAGUUUUUAUAAAUAAAAAGGAAGAGGGGGUUGGAGAUCUCAAAUGUGGUGAUGAUGGAGAGACCGAUUGAUUGGGGAGAUGUUUUAUAUGAGCAAGGACUUGGUAAGGUAUUUAUGAAAUAACUUCCAUGCUCACUGUUGUUUCUCUCAUUCUCAAACUCCAAGGAUGAUUCUUCAUGAAUGCUUAAAAUUCCUCUAGGAUUGUCUCUCAAGUUCGUUUUAUCUAUCCAUUCAAUGGUGAUAGCACAUGGAUUUUUAAUGCCCUCUAACCAUCGAUGUUGCUCUUCUCGAUCCUCCUUCUUAUGCAUGGGACGUCUAGAGAGAUUCAUGGGAUUAUCGGGAGGUUCAAGAGAAAGAGCAUAGUAGAAAUUAUUAAUCUCAAGGAUGGGUUGGAUAGCCGAAUUAUGGGAUUGAAAUGUUUGGAAAUCGGCUAUUGAAACUUCCUUUCCUCUUCUAGGAGAUGAUUCCUUCUCUAUCUCUAGGAUAUUUUUAUGAAGACUAGUACAAGAAGGAUGUCCACAAAUGAAGACAUACCUUCCUUUACUAAUAGAUAAAGAAAGAAGGACUCUACCAAAGGUUAUAUGAUUAAGACCAAUGUGAAAAUAUCUAGGAAAAACAUGGUCUUGUAGGGCUAGGUCUAAACCAGAAUUUAUAGAAAGAUUAAUAGAUUCCCUAGGUGUAGCUAAAAGUGCAUUAUCUUCUUGAUUAAAAGAUAGGACCUCGGCUAUAGAAAAGGGUUGGUUUUGACCUAUUGCAAUCAACUCCGGACACAGAUUAUAAUUAGGGGCAGGACAUGUUGACUCCCAUGGUCUAUGGCUGGUCUCCGAAGGUGCAAAGAAUUCAAUAAUAGGUAUGGAAUUUGAGUUAUCCAUAAAGAUAAAAAUAAAUAGAUAAAAGAAUAAAAGUAUAAAAGUAUAAUACAAGAUAAUAGCAAGAUUCAAAGUUAUCUCAGCAAACCGUCUUUCUCCCCGGCAACGGCGCCAGAAAUGCUUGUUGAUAUUUGGUAACGCAAUUAGAAAAUGAUCCGCAAGCGCACGGAUAUCGGUGAGCAUUUCACCCGGGAGGUUUUCCAGAGUAUAGUAUUUAUAUUUUUACCACUGGGAGAAAGGGUGCAUCUGACUAACCAAAUCUAUUGCUAUUAUCCCUUUAGGCUACAAAGAAUGUCUCUCGAUGUGAGUGAUGUAUAGAGAAGACUGCAACCGUAGUCUCGUUCUAACCUUGGUAAGGAUGAUCUAUUGUUCUAUUGGGGAGGCUCACGGAAUCUAGACAACACAAAGGAUGUUCGACCCGCACCUAUAAACCUACCCGUCCUGCUAACGAGAUGUGAUCUACAAAGGUAGCUCGGAAAUGUCACGUUCCUCGCUACUACCACGGUCCAGCUAGUCAGGGGAUAUCUAUGAGUACCCUAGCCUAAACACCACGUUUACGCUAACAAGUGAUUACUCUAAUACUCAACCGGAAGAGGAUUAAAGUAAACUCAUAAACCAAAGAACAAUAAAACAAGAACUUACUAGUAUUAGAAGUCGAAUUACUGAAGAAUCUUAGAAGCAAGCCUCGGGUUAGGAGACUUGAUCCCGUAGGUACAACUCGGAGUAGACACCGACAGGCCGGCCUUCCUCCGAUCUACACCUUCACUCUAUCUCUCUCAAUCUAGUGAAACUAGAAGAUCUAUUUCUACUUUACAUUGGUUGCUAAGCCUAAAAAGAAAUAUUAUUUAGAGAAGAGGUUUUCCUUCGAGGGCACCCCUCAAUCUCUAUGAUAAUUUCUUGUUUUCUCCAGGGCCAGAGGGGGUCUCCUUAUAUAGUCCUCCCCUUCUAUGCGUUUUUGGGUCGAUAGGCGAGGUGGUACUAUGUUAUUCUGGAUCCAAUAGGUCGGUGGAACGUCGUGUGCGAAGAGAGUCCUGUUUGGACCCGACAGGUGGGCGGGCGCCCAGGUCCUUAGGGCGGGCGCCCUGGGCCUGGCCCCGUUUCGCCUCCGCUUCGGUCUCGUGGCUUCUGGAGUCUUCUAGAUGGUAGAAAAUUGCGCGGUGUGUUGAUAUCUCUAUGUAAUCCCGACAUGUGGGCCUUUCUUCCUUAUUUCCUGAUAACCCCCUGCAGAAAUAGACAAACACCAAAACUCAUGGAAUUCUGUCAGAUAAAACCCUAAGUCUAGAUGUUGAUUUCAUUUGGAUCCUUUUCUUUGUUUAUUUGAUAAUUAAAUUUGAUACUUAAGGACCGUCAACAGAAAACACCAACAGUACCAAAAGUAUAUUUAUUAUUCUCUAUCCUUAAGCAUAGGGAGCAAGACAAAGUUGAUGGGUGAUAAGUUCGUGAGUGUAACAUUUAAAACAUUUGUCAGAUCAGAUCGCUUCAACCUUAUGGAAAGAUAAUCUAUCUAUGUAUAUGUCUUUUUAUUUAUAUCUCUCAAAGAUUGAAUGUGUAACAUUUUGGCUCAUAUGAUUAGGAGUGUGGGAUCAUGGAGGUAGUACUAGGAACAAAGAUUAAAGGACUAAACAUACUGAAUCAGUUGGGUUGGUUAAUUUGGAGUUAUAAAUCAUACAUGUUUGUCUCUUUAUUUAUGUGAGCGCCAGAACCAAGGAGAAGCUUAUAAAAGUGAUAAUCAGAUAUCUUAAGAUGUUACCUUAAUUGAAGAGUGAUGGUACCAUCUCACCUUAUGGAAGCUUCCCAUUCUUAGUGGUUGUGUAUCUUGUUUAUGUACUUUGUCUCCUUCCAUGGAUCAUCUCUCUAUGAUGAAUGAGCUAUGUCCUUCUUGUGCAAAUUGUUAAACUUCAUGUGUCCCUCUCCUUGUCUCCAAUGUGAGUUUAUCUUAGGACUUCCCAGGUUGAUAUUGAAAGUUUUCCUGCAGGGGUUAGUCCGACAAAAUAUACCAAUAUCUACUCAAGCAGUUUUUAGUUCAAUAACCAAACUAGACUCCAUGUCUAAUCAGAUUAAGGAAGGCUGUUUAACCCAAGCACCAUGCUUAAUUUAAAAGCCAAUAGAAGUAUGUGCAGUACUUCCAAACUAAAACUUACUAGGAUCAACAAAGGUAGCGUGAUGGCAUUUAUAGAUCUACUCAAGUGGAGAUGAAGUAGUGUGAUUAGUAUUUAACAAAUUGAGCGUGUCUCAAAGGUAGGGACAACCAACAUAGCAACAUGACAAAGGAUGUUUUUAUGUAAAGUACUCCCCCAAGCUUGAAUUUUUCAAAAUUCAAGUUUGGAUUUAAUUCAAUGUUAUAUGAUGAUUGGUUGGACAUACCUUGUGCUUGUCAUUCAUCCAAUCUUCUUGCUCCAAUCCUGGAAAGGUUAGUGGCAAGAAUACCCGAAGGAAUAUUUUUACAAUUAUCCUUAUAUGCUCAAUACACAAGGUAAUAUUGUAAAUAAUUAAAAACUCAUGUCACGAUAUGAUCAGUGCUUAUUUUAGAACACUAAGCUUGUCCUUGGGAAACUAUCAAUUUAUAUCGGCGAAGUGGUUUCCUCUCCAACGCUGACCUAUAUCAAGAUCAACUCAACUGGAUUAAUGUACCUAUAUCAAGAGAAAGAAAUCAUGUUUGAAUGCUUAAGCAGCAUCAAGGUCCCAUCUGGAUUCUCCUCUAAUAUAAAAGGUAUAAUUAAUGUGCCUGAGAAGAAAUUUCUGAACUUAAAGUCACAUGACUGCCAUGUGCUUAUGACGCAAUUGCUUCCAGUUGCAUUAAGAGGAAUUCUACCUUCACAUGUACGUCUGGCCACCGUAAAGCUAUGUGCAUUCCUCAAUGCAAUUUCUCAGAAGGCAAUCAAUCCACUAGAACUAGCUGCUCUACAGAAUGAUGUGGUUCAAUGUCUUGUCAGCUUUGAGUUAGUGUUCCCUCCAUCCUUCUUUGAUAUCAUGACACACCUCCUAGUUCAUCUGGUCAAGGAGAUCAAUAUUCUGGGUCCUGUGUCCUACAUAAUAUGUUUCCCUUUGAGAGGUUUAUGGGAGUUCUAAAGAAAUAUGUUCACCAACGUGCUCGGCUAGAAGGAAGCAUCGCCGAGGGCUAUGGGAUAGAGGAGGUCAUUGAGUUUUGUGUUGAAUUCAUUCCUGAACUUGACCCAAUUGGUGUUCCUGAAUCGCGCCACGAGGGGAGACUGAGUGGAAAGGGAACACUAGGAAAGAAAACAUACAUCGGUACGGGGGACGAUUCUUUCAAUAAAGCACACUACACAGUUCUUCAAAACUCAUCCGUGGAGGAGCCGUAUGUCACGAAACACAAGGACUUCCUAGGAUCGCAAUUCCCAGAGAAGAAUGAAGCUUGGUUUAUGCGUCAGCACAUAGACACUUUCAGUGAUUGGUUACGAAAAGAAUGUCAGGGUAAUGACCAGAUUGAUGAGCAACUGUAUUUGUUGGCUAGGCAACCAUCAUGGCACAUCCUCACGUACAAAGGGUACGAGAUAAAUGGAAAUACAUUUUACACCCUAGGCCAAGAUAAAAGAAGCACGAACCAAAAUAGUGGAGUUCGCGUAGACGCCAUAGACCCGAAUGGAAACAAACAAACAUAUUAUGGUCGUAUAGAGGAGAUUUGGGAACUAGACUAUGCACCUAAUUUUAAAAUCCCUUUGUUCCGGUGCCAAUGGGUGAAGGUUACCGGAGGCGGGGUGACAGUUGACAAAGACUAUGGAAUGACAACACUGGACCUCAACAAUGUUGGUUACAAAGAUGAACCAUUCGUCCUUGCAGCUGAUGUGAAUCAGGUGUUCUAUGUAAAAGACAUGUCUACAAAACAGAAGAGAGGGAAAAAUGAUAACAAAUCAACAAACGAGCCAAAACGCCAUAUAGUUCUCUCAGGGAAAAGAAACAUUGUGGGAAUUGAGGACAAGUCAGAUAUUUCAGAAGAUUAUGAAAGGAAUGACCGAAUCACGCCUUUCAAUGUGACCAAAGAUCCGAGCAUACUGAUAAAUGCUGAGGACACUCCAUGGUUACGUCAAGAUCAUGACCAAGGAACAUACGUCAAAAAGAAGAUCACUAUUGUGCCCGCAUAAUAAAUAGAUUGCAAUAUAGUAUGUGUAUGUGACAAUUGUAACUUAAGAUGUUUAUAUUAGUUUUUCUUAUUUUAUAUCAUUUCAAAUAAAGAAAUGACAUUUAAGUUUUCCAUUUGGAUAAAUUUGAGCCAAUCCUAAGCACAUUUGUUCAAAAUCCAAGACGGGUAUUGGUCAAACUUGGUCAAAUGACAAACUAAAUUACUUAAAAUGAAAAAAAUUUGAAUACCAAGUUGUUAGAUAUCAUCAAGAUCUAAACUUUUUAUAUAGACAAUUUUUCCAUUUGAGAAAGUUUAAGUUCACAAUACCCACCAAUUCUUGAAUCUCACACAAACUAUAUGAAACUACAUGUGUCAAUUGUGGAUUUUGAACUACACCUUCGCAACACUUUGUCAAAUACAAAAAUGGUCUAUAUAUUAAAUGUAGAUUUUGAUGAGUGGAACAAUAUUAGUAUUCAUGACUUUUCUGUUCGAGACCAUCUAGGGUUCCGAAAACCGAUGCGUGUCUAUGAAUUCUAUCAAAAUUCAAAAUUGAGUGGUUCAAACUUUUCCAAAAGAAAAGUUGACCAUUAGACAAAAUGUAGAACUUGAUGAGUGCAACAAAUUUUGUAUUCAUUACUUUUCCAUUUGGGACCAUAUAGGGUUCGGUCAAAGUGUGUGUUUCUAAAAGCCAAUGCUUUGACUUUGGUCAAACUUGGUCAAAUGACCCAUUUGAUGACUUGAAAUGAAAAAAAUUUGAAUACAAAGUUGUUAGAGAUCAUCAAGAUCUACAUUUGAUAUAUGUUGGGUAUUUUAAACGCAAACAGAAAAAUCCGCAAGCGCACGGAUACCGAUGUAGCUUUCACCCGGGAGUAUUCGAGAGUAUCGAUUUUCCACAGAGAACGUGAGUGUACUAAUUAAGAUCCAAGAUCGCCCAAGGAUAACUAUAUAAUUAUUUUUGGUGGGAAGAGAGGAAGUUUCCUGAGAGUUCUCUAGUUGAUCUAAGAAUCAAGAAUUACUUCAAGAUUUAUCUAUUUCGGGACAUCAGAGCACUAACCACAGAAAGAGAUGAGAAGGGGGCUAGGAAGGUCUGACUACGGUCCUACAAACACCGAUCCGAACGAGGUGGAAUACGUCGACCGUUAGGGCUGUCACUACCCUAAGGCUACCACAACAAUCCGCAGGAUUGAGUGCAAUUCCAGGUAAUUGCAAGACUAAACACCAUGUCUAAUCUAUUAAUUACUACUCUAAUGUUGCAAAGAUUAGAGUACUUGAUGCAAGCGGGAAUCCAAUAAAUAACUUGAAUGUAAAUAAAAGUAAUUAAAGAACUCAGGAUUAUGAAUUGAAGAACCUGGAGAACGAUGAAGAACGAACCAGUUGCUGCAAAAGUACAAUGAUGAGGAAGAUCCGACAGAUCCGGCUCCUCCUCCGCUCUCCUCUUCUCUCUCCCUAUUUUUUAGAUUACAACUAGAACUAACUAGAACUAGAACUAGAGGAACUAGAACUAGAACUAGAUGAACUAGAACUAGAUCUAGAUGAACUAGAGGUAGAACUAGAAGAACUAGAGGGAUCCUCUCUACUUGGAUGAAGAAUUGAAACCCUAACUUUGAUUCUGUAGAAGAGGUAUGAUCUCCAGGGGCCAGGGGGGUCUGGUUUUAUAGUCCCUUCAAGUGAAUCUGGGCCGUCGGAUCAAACCGACAUUGAUCGUGUGGUUUUCCUUGAAGUAUUAGGUCGGUGGAGCAUGAUCCCCGAGCUUCGCCCUGAUUGGUCCAGGGGGGAGGGCGGGCGCCCAGUAAGGGAGGGCGGGCGCCCAGUGCCCGGCUCCGUUACGUCUCCCGUUCGCUCCUGUGGUUUCUGGAGUCUUCUAGAUGAUAGAAAAUUGCGCGGCACGUUAAUAUCUCUAUGUAAACCCGACGUGUGGGCCUUUCUUCCGUAUUUCCUGAUAACCCCCUGCAGAAAUAGACAAACACCAAAACUCGUGGAAUUCUAUCAGAUAAAACCCUAAGUCUAGGUGUUGGUUGCGUUUGGAUCCUUUUCCAUGAUUAGUUGAUGGUUAAAUGUGAGAAUUAAGGACCGUCAACAAGCUCUCCCAAGCUUAACCUUUGCUCGUCCCUGAGCAAAGCUAAAAUCAGCAAGAAAUCAGGGGUUACUUUUAUGCCUCUUACUACAGGGUUUUUAAGUUAUCACUAAGGUCUUAAGUGAUUGAAAAACAGAACGAUCAAGUCAAGCACUAUGUCUCAAGUUCUUCCGUCUUACCUUUGUUCUGGAGUUUGUAUAUGUUCCCAAGAUAAAACUGAGGUAUUUGCCUUCUUCUCGAAAGAUAUAUAAGUAGAGCUUUAAAAAAUUUUAGCAUACUUACUUUGCAAUUUGCUAUGUCAAUGCUCGGAGCAAGGGAGAGGAAUGUCAUACUCCUAGAUCAAGACCUUUGACCUUUUUGAAAAAGUUUGUCAUCUCUUAGUGGCAUAUUGCUUAUUAGAGGGACCAUGGGCUAUCAUUUUUUUCUUUCUUUUUUUUUCUUUUUUUUCAGUCUCUUUUUUUUUCAAGUGGGCAGCAAGUACCCCUAAUUCUACUGUCGGACACAUGUCCAUUUUUUCCACUCAGGUGGGUAUCUUUGUACCCCUAAUUCUACUUCGGACACUUGUCCAUUUUUACCUCUCAUCUCACUCUUUUUUUUCGAAUCAAAUUUUUGCAUAGUCCCAUGCCUCUAACGCAAUAAUACUUCGGAAGAGUGAAUCCUUUAUAUUUUUAAAACAAAAAGAUCUUGAUCUUGGGAGCAUGAUAAUUCUUUCAACCAAAACUACAAGAAUUAACAAUGGCUUGAACAAAGCAAGUGCCCACAGUUUUAAUAUUUAUAUCUUAUAAGACUCUCGGUAUUAUGAUCUCAUAUAUAUAUAUAUAUUUAUGAAUUUUUAGAUUUUCAAAAGAUAAAAUCUCCAGAACUCUAGCAAAACUUGGAACAAGUUAAAUAGUAGCUCAGACCUUCUCAUAUCAUGUUUGUCAAUUACCUAGACUUGAAUCAAACUUUCUUUUUAUUUUAUUUAAAACUUAGGAUUACACAAAACUAUUGUAUAUUACUCAAAAGAAAAACUUUGUUUGGUUUCAUGGUUAUGCAUUUUUUUUAAAUUUAUUUCUAAAUACUAGUAAAUAAAACCAAUAAAGGAAAGUAAUACUUAUCUAGAUACACGUGGGGUGCCUCCCCCAAGCUGGAUGUUGACAUAGUUGUUCACUCUGGUGGCCUGCAUGUUCGGUCUCACUCUUCUUAAGCCUCAAAAUCCUGCACAACCCAAAUAGACAACAAAACUUGUGGAGCAUAUUAAGGGUUAGGUAAUUGUCUAGAGCUUAUGAGAGCUUAAUAUGAGAAUUCUAUGAACUCAAUCACAUCAAGUUCCUCUACUAGGUUGUUUUGUGGCUCAAGAUAGAUUUUCAAGCGUUGACCAUUUACCUUAAAAGUGUUACCUAUGUCAUCUUGGAUGGUAAUGGCUCCAUGAGUUGAAGUGUCAAUAACUUUGUAUGGUCCAUCCCACUUACUUCGUAGCUUACCAUGCCCAAAGAGCUUAACUCUUGAAUUGAAUAGUAGAACCUUAUCUCCAGGCUUAAACUCCUUGUGCUUGAUUCUCUUAUCAUGCCAUCGUUUUGUUCUCUCUUUAUAGAUCCUUGAAUUGUGGUAGGCUUUCUCUCUCCAUUCUUCUAGCUCAGAUAGUUGCAUCAGACGAUUCUCGCUAGCGAGGUGGAGAUCCAUGUUCCAUUUCUUGAGUGCCCAAUGAGCCUUAAUCUCUACUUCCACAGGCAAGUGACACGUUUUUCCAUAUACAAGUUGAUAAGGUGACAUGCUUAUGGGUGUUUUGAAUGCAGUUCUAUAUGCCCAAAGUGCAUCAGGAAGUUUGUCCUUCCACCCCUUACCCAUCUCAUCUACGGUCUUUUGUAAAAUAUUUUUGAUUUGUUUGUUAGAUGUUUCGGCUUGACCGCUAGUCUGAGGAUGGUAUGGUGUUGCGACGUUGUGUCGAACUCCAUGGUCGGCUAGGUACUUCCGGAAGAUUUUGUCGAUGAAGUGGGAACCUCCAUCGCUUAUAACUAUCCGGGGUAUACCAAAGCGAGGAAAGAUAACUUCAUGGAACAUUCUCUU
rnacentral:lncRNA from 1 species